rnacentral:rRNA from 1 species
AUUGAACGCUGGCGGCAGGCCUAACACAUGCAAGUCGAGCGGUAGCACAGAGAGCUUGCUCUCGGGUGACGAGCGGCGGACGGGUGAGUAAUGUCUGGGAAACUUCCUGAUGGAGGGGGAUAACUACUGGAAACGGUAGCUAAUACCGCAUAAUGUCGCAAGACCAAAGUGGGGGACCUUCGGGCCUCAUGCCAUCAGAUGUGCCCAGAUGGGAUUAGCUAGUAGGUGGGGUAACGGCUCACCUAGGCGACGAUCCCUAGCUGGUCUGAGAGGAUGACCAACCACACUGGGACUGAGACAGGGUCCAGACUCCUGCGGGAGGCAGCAGUGGCGAAUAUUGCACGAUGGGCGCAAGCCUGAGGCAGCCAGGCCGCGUGUGUGAAGAAGGCCUUCGGGUUGUAAAGCACUUUCAGCGGGGAGGAAGGCGGUGAGGUUAAUAACCUCAUCGAUUGACGUUACCCGCAGAAGAAGCACCGGCUAACUCCGUGCCAGCAGCCGCCGUAA